rnacentral:rRNA from 1 species
CAGCAACCACGGGAACACGAAGGGUGCAAGCGUUAAUCGGAAUUACUGGGCGUAAAGCGUGCGUAGGCGGUGAGUUAAGUCUGCUGUGAAAUCCCCGGGCUCAACCUGGGAAUGGCAGUGGAUACUGGCUCGCUAGAGUGUGUCAGAGGAUGGUGGAAUUCCCGGUGUAGCGGUGAAAUGCGUAGAGAUCGGGAAGAACAUCAGUGGCGAAGGCGGCUACCUGGACUGAGACUGACACUGAGGCGCGAGAGCGUGGGGAGCAAACAGGAUUAGAUACCCCGGUAGUCCCUGUCUCUUAUAC